rnacentral:rRNA from 1 species
AAAAACUACGGUGGUAGCAAAAGAUGUUUCCAGCAAAAAUAAUAUCAGAAGAACAAAUCUGGAGAAAGGUCGAUUGUAGCAAAAAAAAGCCAGUUCCAGCAAAAAAAUCACUGGUUCCAGCAAAAAGUUCUCCCCAGCAAAAACACUGCUAGUCGAUUGUAGCAACAGAAAAAGGCAGUUCCAGCAAAAUUUGAUGAUGGUUCCAGCAAAAUAAAAAUCUCAUCACCAAAUAUAUGUGUCGAUUGUAGCAAAGAAAAGAACUACUUCCAGCAAAAAUCGUUGUCGGAUGCAGCUCCUCGUCACCGCGGUUGCAGCUCCAUGAACCUGGGGUUGCAAGUCCUGUCGCCGCCGGGAGCAUCAAGUCGUGGCACCUCGUCGCAGAAGCGAGGCCCCCAGUUGCAUCCACCGCCUGUCUCCGCGCGUAUGCGCUGCUCCUCUGCACGCGGCGCCGAUGGUCGCCGAGGCCGGUGCCAGUGGUGGCCUUGUAGCACCCGUGGUAGUCGUCCCGCGUUGCCGCCGGUGACCGCAUCUGCAGCAGCCAAAAAGGUGGGUGGGGAGAAGAACGAGAGAGGAUAUGCAUCAUGCCAAGAGAGAAGGGAGUGGCUGAGAAAUCUCCCCGUGAAGAGAUAAGAUAAGGUCGAGGCAAAGUGGUGGGCAGUUACUAGAGCAAUAAGAACGGUUGAUUUUCAUCUGAUGUAACGACGCGCGCUCGGCCGGCCGAACUUUCAGCCGGCGUGCCGGUUUCAAAC